rnacentral:rRNA from 1 species
AGAAUCAACGCUGGCGGCGUGCCUAACACAUGCAAGUCGAACGAGAAAGUGGAGCAAUCCAUGAGUAAAGUGGCGACCGGGUGAGUAACACGUGACUAACCUACCUUCGAGUGGGGGAUAACCUCGGGAAACCGAGGCUAAUACCGCAUAACAUCGCAAGAUCAAAGCAGCAAUGCGCUGGAAGAGGGGGUCGCGGCUGAUUAGCUAGUUGGCGGGUAACGCCCACAAGGCGAAGAUCGGUAGCCGGCCUGAGAGGGCGCACGGCCACACUGGAACUGAAACACGGUCCAGACUCCUACGGGAGGCAGCAGUGGGGAAUUUUGCGCAAUGGGGGAAACCCUGACGCAGCAACGCCGCGUGGAGGAUGAGGCCCCUUGGGGCCGUAAACUCCUUUCGACCAAGACGAUAAUGACGGUACUGGUGGAAGAAGCACCGGCUAACUCUGCGCCAGCAGCCGC